GGGUUGUGAGGUUAAGCGACUAAGCGUACACGGUGGAUGCCCUGGCAGUCAGAGGCGAUGAAGGGCGUGCUAAUCUGCGAUAAGCGCCGGUAAGGUGAUAUGAACCGUUAUAACCGGCGAUACCCGAAUGGGGAAACCCAGUGUGAUUGGUCACACUAUCAUUAACUGAAUCCAUAGGUUAAUGAGGCGAACCGGGGGAACUGAAACAUCUAAGUACCCCGAGGAAAAGAAAUCAACCGAGAUUCCCCCAGUAGCGGCGAGCGAACGGGGAGGAGCCCAGAGCCUGAAUCAGCAUGUGUGUUAGUGGAAGCGUCUGGAAAGGCGCGCGAUACAGGGUGACAGCCCCGUACACAAAAGCGCAUGUGCUGUGAGCUCGAUGAGUAGGGCGGGACACGUGGUAUCCUGUCUGAAUAUGGGGGGACCAUCCUCCAAGGCUAAAUACUCCUGACUGACCGAUAGUGAACCAGUACCGUGAGGGAAAGGCGAAAAGAACCCCGGCGAGGGGAGUGAAAAAGAACCUGAAACCGUGUACGUACAAGCAGUGGGAGCCCCACCACUAAGCCAGUGGUGAACUCCACAUCCGCAUCCUUUGCUGAGGAUACGGUUAACGGAGCGAAAGCGACGUUCAACCGCAAAACAAGCAGAGGGGGCUUAGUGGUGGGGUGACUGCGUACCUUUUGUAUAAUGGGUCAGCGACUUAUAUUCUGUAGCAAGGUUAACCGAAUAGGGGAGCCGGAGGGAAACCGAGUCUUAAUUGGGCGUUAAGUUGCAGGGUAUAGACCCGAAACCCGGUGAUCUAGCCAUGGGCAGGUUGAAGGUUGGGUAACACUAACUGGAGGACCGAACCGACUAAUGUUGAAAAAUUAGCGGAUGACCUGUGGCUGGGGGUGAAAGGCCAAUCAAACCGGGAGAUAGCUGGUUCUCCCCGAAAGCUAUUUAGGUAGCGCCUCGUGAAUUCAUCUCCGGGGGUAGAGCACUGUUUCGGCUAGGGGGCCAUCCCGGCUUACCAACCCGAUGCAAACUGCGAAUACCGGAGAAUGUUAUCACGGGAGACACACGGCGGGUGCUAACGUCCGUCGUGAAGAGGGAAACAACCCAGACCGCCAGCUAAGGUCCCAAAGUCAUGGUUAAGUGGGAAACGAUGUGGGAAGGCCCAGACAGCCAGGAUGUUGGCUUAGAAGCAGCCAUCAUUUAAAGAAAGCGUAAUAGCUCACUGGUCGAGUCGGCCUGCGCGGAAGAUGUAACGGGGCUAAACCAUGCACCGAAGCUGCGGCAGCGAACGUAUCACCCAAGACAACUUUACGGAGUUGACGAUUGACGGAGCGAAGCGACGUCAAAGCGUUCAUUAAAGUCGAGUUGGCUUAGGGAUACGUUCGUUGGGUAGGGGAGCGUUCUGUAAGCCUGUGAAGGUGUGUCGUGAGGCAUGCUGGAGGUAUCAGAAGUGCGAAUGCUGACAUAAGUAACGAUAAAGCGGGUGAAAAGCCCGCUCGCCGGAAGACCAAGGGUUCCUGUCCAACGUUAAUCGGGGCAGGGUGAGUCGACCCCUAAGGCGAGGCCGAAAGGCGUAGUCGAUGGGAAACGGGUUAAUAUUCCCGUACUUGGUGUUACUGCGAAGGGGGGACGGAGAAGGCUAUGUUGGCCGGGCGACGGUUGUCCCGGUUUAAGGGUGUAGGUGUGUGUUCCAGGUAAAUCCGGUUCACUUUAACACUGAGGCGUGACGACGAGGCACUACGGUGCUGAAGCAACAAAUGCCCUGCUUCCAGGAAAAGCCUCUAAGCAUCAGGUAACAUCAAAUCGUACCCCAAACCGACACAGGUGGUCAGGUAGAGAAUACCAAGGCGCUUGAGAGAACUCGGGUGAAGGAACUAGGCAAAAUGGUGCCGUAACUUCGGGAGAAGGCACGCUGACACGUAGGUGAAGUGAUUUACUCAUGGAGCUGAAGUCAGUCGAAGAUACCAGCUGGCUGCAACUGUUUAUUAAAAACACAGCACUGUGCAAACACGAAAGUGGACGUAUACGGUGUGACGCCUGCCCGGUGCCGGAAGGUUAAUUGAUGGGGUCAGCGUAAGCGAAGCUCCUGAUCGAAGCCCCGGUAAACGGCGGCCGUAACUAUAACGGUCCUAAGGUAGCGAAAUUCCUUGUCGGGUAAGUUCCGACCUGCACGAAUGGCGUAAUGAUGGCCAGGCUGUCUCCACCCGAGACUCAGUGAAAUUGAACUCGCUGUGAAGAUGCAGUGUACCCGCGGCAAGACGGAAAGACCCCGUGAACCUUUACUAUAGCUUGACACUGAACAUUGAGCCUUGAUGUGUAGGAUAGGUGGGAGGCUUUGAAGUGUGGACGCCAGUCUGCAUGGAGCCGACCUUGAAAUACCACCCUUUAAUGUUUGAUGUUCUAACGUGGACCCGUAAUCCGGGUUGCGGACAGUGUCUGGUGGGUAGUUUGACUGGGGCGGUCUCCUCCUAAAGAGUAACGGAGGAGCACGAAGGUUGGCUAAUCCUGGUCGGACAUCAGGAGGUUAGUGCAAUGGCAUAAGCCAGCUUGACUGCGAGCGUGACGGCGCGAGCAGGUGCGAAAGCAGGUCAUAGUGAUCCGGUGGUUCUGAAUGGAAGGGCCAUCGCUCAACGGAUAAAAGGUACUCCGGGGAUAACAGGCUGAUACCGCCCAAGAGUUCAUAUCGACGGCGGUGUUUGGCACCUCGAUGUCGGCUCAUCACAUCCUGGGGCUGAAGUAGGUCCCAAGGGUAUGGCUGUUCGCCAUUUAAAGUGGUACGCGAGCUGGGUUUAGAACGUCGUGAGACAGUUCGGUCCCUAUCUGCCGUGGGCGCUGGAGAACUGAGGGGGGCUGCUCCUAGUACGAGAGGACCGGAGUGGACGCAUCACUGGUGUUCGGGUUGUCAUGCCAAUGGCACUGCCCGGUAGCUAAAUGCGGAAGAGAUAAGUGCUGAAAGCAUCUAAGCACGAAACUUGCCCCGAGAUGAGUUCUCCCUGAGACUUAGAGUCUCCUGAAGGAACGUUGAAGACGACGACGUUGAUAGGCCGGGUGUGUAAGCGCAGCGAUGCGUUGAGCUAACCGGUACUAAUGAACCGUGAGGCUUAACCUUACAACGCCGAAG
rnacentral:rRNA from 1 species